rnacentral:rRNA from 1 species
UACGUAGGGUGAGAGCGUUAAUCGGAAUUACUGGGUGUAAAGCGUGCGCAGGCGGCUUUGUAAGACGGAUGUGAAAUCCCUGGGCUUAACCUAGGAACUGCGUUCGUGACUGCAAAGCUAGAGUGCGGCAGAGGGGGGUGGAAUUCCUGGUGUAGCAGUGAAAUGCGUAGAGAUCAGGAGGAACACCGAUGGCGAAGGCAGCCCCCUGGGUUGACACUGACGCUCAUGCAAGAAAGCGUGGGGAGCAAACAGG